rnacentral:rRNA from 1 species
UACGUAGGGGGCAAGCGUUGUCCGGAAUCAUUGGGCGUAAAGAGCGUGUAGGCGGCCCGGUAAGUCCGCUGUGAAAGUCGGGGGCUCAACCCUCGAAUGCCGGUGGAUACUGUCGGGCUAGAGUGCGGAAGAGGCGAGUGGAAUUCCUGGUGUAGCGGUGAAAUGCGCAGAUAUCAGGAGGAACACCAAUGGCGAAGGCAGCUCGCUGGGACGUUACUGACGCUGAGACGCGAAAGCGUGGGGAGCAAACAGG